rnacentral:rRNA from 1 species
CAGGGGGAUAACCGGGAGAAAUCCCGACUAAUACCGCGUAACGCCGCGGACCUGCAUGGGUCUGCGGCCAAAGGAAGCGAUUCCGGCGGGGGAUGGGCAUGCGGCGCAUUAGCUAGUCGGCGGGGUAACGGCCCACCGAGGCGACGAUGCGUAGGGGUUCUGAGAGGAAGGUCCCCCACACUGGUACUGAGACACGGACCAGACUCCUACGGGAGGCAGCAGUGAGGAAUAUUGGUCAAUGGGCGGGAGCCUGAACCAGCCAAGUCGCGUGAGGGAAGACGGUCCUACGGAUUGUAAACCUCUUUUGCCGGGGAGCAACGGGGUCCUUGCGAGGGCCCAAUGAGAGUACCCGGAGAAAAAGCAUCGGCUAACUCCGUGCCAGCAGCCGCGGUAAUACGGAGGAUGCGAGCGUUAUCCGGAUUUAUUGGGUUUAAAGGGUGCGUAGGCGGGCUGUUAAGUCAGCGGUCAAAUGUCGGGGCUCAACCCCGGCCUGCCGUUGAAACUGGCGGCCUCGAGUGGGCGAGAAGUAUGCGGAAUGCGUGGUGUAGCGGUGAAAUGCAUAGAUAUCACGCAGAACUCCGAUUGCGAAGGCAGCAUACCGGCGCCCGACUGACGCUGAGGCACGAAAGCGUGGGUAUCGAACAGGAUUGGAUACCCUGGUAGUCCACGCAGUAAACGAUGAAUGCUAGCUGUCCGGGACUUCGGUCCCUGGGUGGCACAG